ACUGUGUGUGUGUGUGUGUGUGUGUGUGUGUGUGUGUGUGUGUGUGUGUGUGUGUGUGUGUGUGUGUGUGUGUGUGUGUGUGUGUUUUGCACUGGUUUCUAAUCGUUUGUGCUCGUGUUUUUGGAUACAGCCUUCGGAAUACUUCAAAAUAACCCUGUGUUUUCUCAGUGUGGAUUUUUACAUGUAUGACCUCCGAACACACGUACAAUAAAAGUCUUUUUGAACACAA